AGGUGAACCUGCGGAAGGAUCAUUACAGUGUUCCCUGCCCUUCGGGGUAGGAUCGCCACCCUUGAUUAUUUAUGAAUGUUGCUUUGGCGGGCCUCGCAGCCUAGCCGCGCCCCGGCUUCGGCGGGGGAGCGCCCGCCAGAGGAUUCUACAAACCUGAUUAUUAGUGUCGUCUGAGUACUAUAUAAUAGUUAAAACUUUCAACAACGGAUCUCUUGGUUCUGG
rnacentral:misc_RNA from 1 species